rnacentral:rRNA from 1 species
AACGGAGAGUUUGAUCCUGGCUCAGGAUGAACGCUGGCGGCGUGCUUAACACAUGCAAGUCGAACGAUGAUCCGGUGCUUGCGCCGGGGAUUAGUGGCGAACGGGUGAGUAACACGUGAGUAACCUGCCCUUGACUCUGGGAUAAGCCUGGGAAACUGGGUCUAAUACCGGAUAUGACUCCUCAUCGCAUGGUGGGGGGUGGAAAGCUUUUUGUGGUUUUGGAUGGACUCGCGGCCUAUCAGCUUGUUGGUGGGGUAAUGGCCUACCAAGGCGACGACGGGUAGCCGGCCUGAGAGGGUGACCGGCCACACUGGGACUGAGACACGGCCCAGACUCCUACGGGAGGCAGCAGUGGGGAAUAUUGCACAAUGGGCGAAAGCCUGAUGCAGCGACGCCGCGUGAGGGAUGACGGCCUUCGGGUUGUAAACCUCUUUCAGUAGGGAAGAAGCCCUCUUU